UACAGAGGGGGCAAGCGUUAUUCACAUUGAUUAGGCGUAAAGGGUGCGUAGGCUGUUUUUUUAUUUGAUUAUUUGAAAUUUCAUUAUUUUAAAAAUGGAAGAUGUGAUCAAUGAGAAACUUGAGUAAAACUAAAAUUGGCAGAAUUGUUGGCUUAAGGGUGAAAUCUUUAGAUCCCAAUAGGAAUGCCGUCCGGCGAAGGCAGCUUUUUUUUUUUACUGACGUUGAGGCACGAAGGUAUGGGGAUCAAACAGG
rnacentral:rRNA from 1 species